GAGAUAGAAAGUUACUUCGGUACAUCGGUGACAGGUGGUGGCGAUGGUUGUCGUCAGCUCGUGUCGUGAGAUGUUGGUUAAGUCCCGCAACGAGCGCAACCCCUAUUGUUAGUUGCCAUCAUUCAGUUGGGCACUCUAGCGAGACUGCCGGUAAUAAACCGGAGGAAGGUGGGGAUGACGUCAAAUCAUCAUGCCCCUUAUGACCUGGGCUACACACGUGCUACAAUGGUUGGUACAACGAGUUGCGAGUCGGUGACGGCGAGCUAAUCUCUUAAAGCCAAUCUCAGUUCGGAUUGUAGGCUGCAACUCGCCUACAUGAAGUCGGAAUCGCUAGUAAUCGCGGAUCAGCACGCCGCGGUGAAUACGUUCCCGGGCCUU
rnacentral:rRNA from 1 species